AUGGUGAAGAUGAAAGUCAAUAGAUGUGGCAAUAUUGGGCGCCUGGUCACCAAGACUGCUGUUAACUCUGGCAAAGUGGAGGUUGUUGUCAUCAAUGACCCUUUCAUUGACCUCAACUACAUGUUCUACAUGUUCCAGUAUGAUUCCACCCAUGGCAAGUUCAGUGGCACGCAAGGCUGAGAAUGGGAAGCUUGUCAUUAAUGGGAAGCUCUUCUCUGUCUUCCAGGAGAUCCUGCCAACAUCAAGUGGGAUGAUGCUAGUGCUCAGUAAGUUGUAGAUAGAGUCCACCGGGGUCUUUACAACCUUGGAGAAGGUGGGGGCUCACUGGAAGGGUGGUACCACAAGGGUAAUCAUCUCUGCCCCUUCUUCUGAUGCCCCCAUGUUUGUGUUGGGCAUGAACCACAAGAAGUAUGAUAGCUCACUCAAGAUUGUUGGCAAUGCCUCCUGCACCACCAACUGUUUGGCCCCCCGGCUAAGGUCAUCCAUGACAACUCUGGCAUCGUGGAGGGACUCAUGACCACAGUCCAGGCCAUCACUGCCACCCAGAAGACUGUGGAUGGCCCCUCUGGGAAACUGGUGUAAUGGCCAUGAUCGCUGCAUCUCCUGGUACUGCCAAGGCUGUGGGCAAAGUCAUACCUGAGCUGAGUGGGAAACUCACUGGCAUGGCCUCCCAGGUCCUUACUACAUGCAACAUGUCUGUCGUGGACCUGACCUGCCAUCUGGAGAAAGCUGCCCAAUAUGAUGGCAUCAAGAAGGUAGUGAAUCAGGCAUCAGACGGGUUACACUGAAGACCAGGUCGUCUCCUGGGACUUCAACAGUGACACCCACUCUUCCACCUUUAAUGCUGGGGCUGGCAUUGUCCUCAACGACCACUUUGUCCAGCUCAUUUCCUGGUAUGACAAUGAAUUUGGCUACAGCAACAGGGUGGUGGAUCUUAUGGUCCACAUGGCCUCCAAGGAAUAA